AGUGAACGCUGGCGGCGUGCUUAACACAUGCAAGUCGAACGAGAACGGAUUAUAGCUUGCUAUAAUUGUCAGCUAAGUGGCGCACGGGUGAGUAAUGUAUAGGUAAUAUGCCUCUUACUAAGGGAUAACAAAUGGAAACGUUUGCUAAUACCUUAUACUCCUUAUUAACAGAAGUUAAUAAGGGAAAGAUUUAUUGGUAAGAGAUUAGCCUGUAUUGUAUCAGUUAGUUGGUGGGGUAAUGGCUUACCAAGACUAUGACACAUAACUGGUUUGAGAGGAUGAUCAGUCACACUGGAACUGAGACACGGUCCAGACUCCUACGGGAGGCAGCAGUAGGGAAUAUUGCACAAUGGACGGAAGUCUGAUGCAGCAACGCCGCGUGGAGGAUGACACAUUUCGGUGCGUAAACUCCUUUUAUAUGAGAAGAUAAUGACGGUAUUAUAUGAAUAAGCACCGGUUAACUCCGUGCCAGCCGCCGCGGUAAUAC
rnacentral:rRNA from 1 species